UUUUUCGAGUUAUGGAGAUUUACUCUGAUUUAUCUGUCGAUUUAGCCAAAAAUUUCGAUCAGCGGCGGAGGACGGCCAUGAACGGCGGCACUACAACUACCACCACCGGUUCUUACGGCGGUAGACGGAGAUCCUGCGGUUCCUAAGCGCAAUACGCAACAGCAAACUCCGAUUUUAGCUAAUUUCAUGCCAGGAGUCACUGUUCUGUUUCAUGGAGUUUGUAUAUAUGAUUACAAGAAUUAGGAGUUGAUUUUGGGGUUGAUGUGAAUUAGUGUGGUGGAUUAGGAUGUUGCACUAGUCUCUUACGUGUUCUCUAAGGUAUUCUAUGCUUAUGCAUUCAGCUCCUCUGCUUUUGUUUGAUUCUUGCAUGUCUCAUUCGUAUAAUCAUUCACUAGUUUCAUGAUUUUUUCGAUGGAUGGUUGUCUGUAUUAUGGAUUUAAAUAGCUUUUAGAGAAGAUAUGAGUUGCACCAAAAAAAAGAUGGCUCUGGUUAGUUCUUGAAUAGAUCAUGAUGAUCCAUGAGAAUGAGCAAUGAGUGGCUAGGUUAUUUGGAAAUGGUACGUAGAGUCUUGAAAAGCACAAGAGAGUCUUAGAUAAGCGAGACUAGGUUCCACACACAUUAGAAAUAGUUCACUGCAAUAGGUCUCUAGGAGCACAUGACUUGGCCUACAAGCCAAACACGUUGCUGUUCUUGUCGACUAAACUUGAUCUUUUUGGCCUUUUCACUGGUUUUUUUUUUCCCAUUUUACGAGUAGUUUGAUUAUCUUCUAUAUUACAACAGAGAUUUCGUGUCAACAUGUCCAACUUACGAUAAAAUGAAUCAAAACCAUAUAGUCUAAAAGAAACUUCCCACAAGUUACAAGUGCACCAUAUAAACCAAAUGAGAUUUGGAAAUUUCAAAACAUCUUUGGAUCCAUACGGUUAUAGGGAACCUGACAAAUGGAUAUUAAAUCAUAAUAAUUAUAAUAAUAAUAAACGAUUUCAUAAUCUUGGAUUCUAAAUAAGCAUGAGGUAUGUUUGAGAGGAAGAAAACCUAGUGGUCUAUGAUCAGUAGUCAUAGGCAGGCCCGGCCCGCCACCAAUACCCAAGAUAGACCUCCAAAUUUUAAAGAUUUUGAGUACUAAAAUUAGGCCUCAAAUAUAAUUUUUUAUUGCAAAAAAAGCCUUAUUUUUCCAAAAUUUUAAGAUUUAGUCUCAAAUCUUAAAUUUUAAAAUAUUGUAAAAAUAGGCCCAAUUUUUCUGAAAAUUUAAGAUUUGGUAUCAUUUUUAAAUUUGUCUACAAAAUCCAUCAAAAAAAAAAAUUAUUCUGUAUUGGGCCUCAUAUAUAAUAGGACCGGGCCUCGUCAUAGGUUUCACCUUCAAUGAACACCUUGAAUGGACACUGAGUCUCACCUUGAAUAGAGUACUCAAACUUGAGUUGAGUAGAAAAGAGAAGAUGAGAUGAUGCUGAAAGCCUUGCCAUUGAUUUCAACUCCUUUUUAACUCUACCACUACUCCAGGUUGGUGCGAUGGAGAUUCCAACUCUCUUUAAACACUCCGAGUUGGCAAGUAGAUAUCUCACCAAUUCUUUCUCUCCGUUUCUUCCUUUAUAGUUUUUCCACUCAAAGAUCUCGAGACGGUUUAACAAACACUCUGGAACAGAACUCGGUGGGUUGAAACAAAGUGGGAGCUCUUCGUUACAGACCUGUUAAGCAACAACAUCAAGAUAAGUAACUAAAACGUUUAUUUCAUUUUGAAUUUGUUAAACCGUCCAUAUAUAUGUACCUGCUCGAUGAGAAGGACUUUUAGCUUAGGAGAAUUUUGAAGAAAAAGCAUAAAUGGUUGCAACCAAUGUAAUCCAAAUGGGAUAAUUUUUUUUUUUUUUUUUUUUUUUUUUUUUUUUUUUUUUUAAAAGGGAUAAUUUUACAUUCUACAAGCUGCGAGAAGUUAAUGUUGUAACAACAUCCAACCUGCAACAAUGAACAUAUACCUCACAAAUAAGUUGACGAUGGCAAUUUGAUCAUAAUAAUCAUAAAUAAGGUUGAAAAAGCCACUUAUACGUACCGUCUGUGUGUUCAAAAUGAAGUCGAGAUGCAUAACCGAGGAAAGAGAUUUGGUAAAACUCGUCAUCAAGAUUAGAAAAAACUUGGAUAAGUGCCUUAUCAAGGCGAGGCUUGUUCUCAAUUGAGUACAAGUUUGCCGAAAUAUCCCGAAGGAAGAUUUUUCUUAAAUUUGGAGAAUCGAUAGCCAAAGACCCCCCUGCAUAUCCGUCAUUAUUUUUUGCUACUUCCAUAUGACUAUAAUAUAAGGUCUUUAAAGAAGGCACUUUGACACUGAUAUUUUUCAAGUUGUCAAUACCAUGUCUAACCACACCUAAAUGCUUGAGAAUAGGACAACCAGAUAAAAGCCUAACAAGAGCAUCUUCAUAUUUGUACACCACAGAGAAGAGGCAAAGAAUUUCUAGACAUGGAAAGCAAACCACAGAAGGAACAUCCACCAAAAUCUUAUCGGAGAUAGUAAGAAAGACGAGCGUGUUGCAUACGUAAAGGCGAUCUGGUAACCUGAUAGGCUCUGACAACCAGCUUAGCUUGAACUCUAGCUUUCGCACUUUGCGAUCAACUGCAUCUGCAAUCCACUUUAUAACAUCAACAUCAAUAGGACAUCCAGGACCGAGUUGUACACAAAGAGUUUCUAAAACAUGGGCCUUAUGGAGUUUCAUUGACUCGUUAAGAAACCACCAUAAACUAGGCUCGUUAAGAAACCACCACAUGUUUUUUUUCCUUCCUUGUUUAUAUUCAGUAUCUCUGUACUCGAGUUCCGGUAGCAUCGUCCAAAUAGACCGCCAUCGUUUCGACAAAACCACUGUAGACACUGCAUCUUUUGUAGGUAGAAGCAACAAUAUCUUUACGAGCAAAUCAUCGGGUAGUGUACUAAUCUUGUCUUCAGUUGAAUCAGUUCUCUUGCUAAUCUUGUCUUCAGUUGAAUCAGUUCUCUCACUCUUACUCUUGAUGAAUCGUCGUGCAUUAUGUAUUAAAUGUUGUCCCAACCAUAUGGAACCGAAUAUAAGCAAAAGCUGUCCUAACAUCUUUUUGUCACGGCUCCAUACUCAUUCGUCCUAACAUCUUUUUGUCACGGCUCCAUAGACGCCUUCAUAUUAGUCAUUAAGCGUAUAUAUACAUACUAGAUAUGUCGGUUCUAUCCUUUUUUUAGAAUUAGUAACUUUACAUUAGAAUUAGUAAAUAAUUUUUUCAUUUCUAUUUUUAUUUAAUAAGAUACAUAUAAUUUCCUUAUAAUUAUUUUUUUACCUUUUUAAAAUUUUUUUGUAUAAUAUUUAUACAUAUAAUUCCCUUAUAAUUUUUUAUUAAAUUUCUAUUUUUAUUUAAUAAGAUACAUCAAAUUUCCUUAUAAUGAUCUUCUUUAGAUUUUUAGAUUUGUUUUUAUAGAAGAUAUAUACGUAUAACUUUCUUAAAAAAAAAAUCUAAAUAGAUAAAAGGAAAUUGUUGUGUUACACGUGUCCAAAUCUGAUAUCAAUAAAAAAACAAUUUUUGUAAGAAAAUAGGAGACUAUCUAUUUGUUUAUAUAGAGUUGAGUAAUUACAAUCCUUUUUUCUCUCGAAUUAAUAAUUGAUUGUAAAAUUUCCUUAAGUAUUGUAUUUAAUAUAAUAAGAUUGUAUAAUUUCUUAACUCCUUUUUUAAUUUUGAAGGAAAAACUAAUCCUUUUCUUUUAGAAUUAGUAGCUUUAAAUUAGAAUUAGUAAAUGAAUUUUUUAUUUCUAUUUUUAUUUAAUAAGAUACAUAUAGUUUCCUUAUAAUUAUCUUCUUUACUUUUAAAAAAUUGUUUUGUAUAAGAUUUAUAUGUAUAGUUGCCUUAUAAUUUUUUUCUUAAAUUUCUAUUUUUAUUUAAUAAGAUACAUAAAGUUUUCUUAUAAUGAUUUUUUUAGAUUUGUUUUUAUAUAAGAUAUAUACGUAUAAUUUUCUUAUAAUUUUUUUUCUUGAUGAAUAAAAGAAAAUUGUUGUGUUACACCUGUCAAAUUCUGGAAUCAAUAAAUUUGUCACGUGGCACGAUCCUAUAAAUUACUAAGGGCUAUGCACAAAGUUAACAAAAUUAUAAAAAAAAAAAACAAAAAACAACGGAGGACGGCAAAGAACGGCGACUUUGCAGCUACCACCACCGAUUCUUACGGUGGUAGACGGAGCUCUUGCGGUUCCUAAGCGCAAUUCACAACAGCAAACUCCGAUUUUAGCUAAUUUCAUGCUGGAGUCACUGUUCUGUUUCAUGAAGUUUGUAUAUGAUUACAAGAAUUAGGAGUUUAUUUUGGGGUUGAUGUGAAUUAGUGUGGUGGAUUAGGAUGUUGCACUAGUCUCUUACGUGUUCUCUAAG
rnacentral:lncRNA from 1 species